rnacentral:rRNA from 1 species
UACAGGGGGUGCAAACGUUGCUCGGAAUCAUUGGGCGUAAAGCGCACGUAGGCGGUCUGUUAAGUCUGAUGUGAAAGCCCGGGGCUCAACCCCGGAAUAGCCUUUAAGACUGCAUCGCUUGAACACGGGAGAGGUGAGUGGAAUUCCGAGUGUAGAGGUGAAAUUCGUAGAUAUUCGGAAGAACACCAGUGGCGAAGGCGGCUCACUGGACCGUUGUUGACGCUGAGGUGCGAAAGCGUGGGGAGCAAACAGG